UUUAUAAUUUGGAAUAAAGGGAGGCAUAAAUUACACAAUACAACUUAUGUACAUAAGUUACACAACUGAUACACUAGUGUAUAUAGAAAGUUAUGCAGUUAUUAUACACAAACAAAAGUUAUACAAUACAAGUUAGCAGAAUAGGUUACCAGCAUAACUUAGCAGAAUAAGUUAGCAAUAUAACUUAUAUGUUAUAAGUUAAUAUACAUAAAUUGCUACUAGAGAAAUAAAAAUCUUCGAAACAUAUAGAAGUGGGAUCUAGUUUUGUUCGUCUCGUCACGUUGAACACACCGGUAUAGAUGGAAUUAAAAAUAGAUACAUCAUUUAAAAGUUAUAGUAAUUUGAAAUAAAUAUUUUGCUUUUUUUAUGAUAACGUUAAGA
rnacentral:lncRNA from 1 species